UACGUAGGGUCCGAGCGUUGUCCGGAAUUACUGGGCGUAAAGAGCUCGUAGGUGGUUUGUCGCGUUGUUCGUGAAAACUCACAGCUCAACUGUGGGCGUGCGGGCGAUACGGGCAGACUAGAGUACUGCAGGGGAGACUGGAAUUCCUGGUGUAGCGGUGAAAUGCGCAGAUAUCAGGAAGAACACCCGUGGCGGAAGGCGGCUCUCUGGGACGGUACUGGACGCUGAGACGGCGAAAAGCGU
rnacentral:rRNA from 1 species